rnacentral:rRNA from 1 species
GACGAACGCUGGCGGCGUGCUUAACACAUGCAAGUCGAACGGAAAGGCCCUGCUUUUGUGGGGUGCUCGAGUGGCGAACGGGUGAGUAACACGUGAGUAACCUGCCCUUGACUUUGGGAUAACUUCAGGAAACUGGGGCUAAUACCGGAUAGGAGCUCCUGCUGCAUGGUGGGGGUUGGAAAGUUUCGGCGGUUGGGGAUGGACUCGCGGCUUAUCAGCUUGUUGGUGGGGUAGUGUCUUACCAAGGCUUUGACGGGUAGCCGGCCUGCGAGGGUGACCGGCCACAUUGGGACUGAGAUACGGCCCAGACUCCUACGGGAGGCAGCAGUGGGGAGUAUUGCACAAUGGGCGGAAGCCUGAUGCAGCAACGCCGCGUGCGGGAUGACGGCCUUCGGGUUGUAAACCGCUUUCGCCUGUGACGAAGCGUGAGUGACGGUAAUGGGUAAAGAAGCACCGGCUAACUACGUG